rnacentral:rRNA from 1 species
UACGUAGGGGGCAAGCGUUGUCCGGAAUCAUUGGGCGUAAAGCGCGUGUAGGCGGUUCGGUAAGUCUGCUGUGAAAGUCCAGGGCUCAACCCUGGGAUGCCGGUGGAUACUGUCGGACUAGAGUACGGAAGAGGCGAGUGGAAUUCCCGGUGUAGCGGUGAAAUGCGCAGAUAUCUGGAGGAACACCGGUGGCGAAGGCGGCAUUCUGGACUGUAACUGACACUGAGGAACGAAAGCCAGGGGAGCAAACGGG